rnacentral:rRNA from 1 species
CCUUUCCUACUGGUUACUCGACUCUGUCCUUUACUGGAUGGAGUAGUAUCGCAAGGUAUCAUUUGGUGUUAUAUUGCUUUUGAACGUAGUGAUCGGGUAAAACUGGUUAUGAAAUUCAAGGGAUCACAGUAUGAUAUUAAAUGGGGUUCCAGUUCAUUUACUUUGAGUAAAUUAGAGUGUUCAAAGCAGCCUCUUGGGGCAUUGAAUAGAUUAGCAUGGGAUAAUAGAAUAGGAUUCUUGUCUAUUUAUUGGUUUAUAGAUUUAGAAUAAUGAUUAAUAGGGAUAGUUGGGGGCACUUGUAUUCAAUAGUCAGAGGUGAAAUUCUAGGAUUUAUUGAAGACAAACUUCAGCGAAAGCAUUUGCCAAGGAUGUUUUCAUUAAUCAAGAACGAAAGUUAGGGGAUCGAAGACGAUUAGACACCGUCGUAGUCUUAACUAUAAACUAUGCCGACCAGGGAUAUGAGGGUUUUUAUUUAUGUUAUUUUAAUAACAUAAUCUCUUGUGCACCUUGUGAGAAAUCAUAAGUUUUUGGGUUCUGGGGGGAGUAUGGUCGCAAGGCUGAAACUUAAAGGAAUUGACGGAGGGGCACCACCAGGAGUGGAGCCUGCGGCUUAAUUUGACCCAACACGGGAAAACUUACCAGGUCCAGACAUUUGAAGGAUUGACAGGUUGAUAGCCCUUUCUUGAUUAAAUGGGUGGUGGUGCAUGGCCGUUCUUAGUUGGUGGAGUGAUUUGUCUGGUUAAUUCCGAUAACGAACGAGACCUCUGUCAUUAAAUAGGGAUGAUUAUAUGAAAAUAUAAUUAGUAAUUUUAACUCUUCUUAAUGAGACUUUUGGUUUUUAAUCCAAAGGAAGUUUGAGGCAAUAACAGGUCUGUGAUGCCCUUAGAUGUUCUGGGCCGCACGCGCGCUACACUGACAACUUCAAAGAGUAUAUUUAUUUAGUCCUUCUCUGGAAAGAGUGGGUAAUCUUUUAAAGCUUGUCGUGAUGGGGAUAGAUGAUUGCAAUUAUUCAUCUUGAACGAGGAAUUCCUAGUAAGCGUAGGUCAUCAGCCUACGUUGAUUACGUCCCCCCUUGUACACACCGCCCGUCGCUGCUACCGAUUGGAUGAUCCGGUGAAAUCUUUGGAUCGUGAUGAAAUACCUAUGGGCAACUAUAGGCUUCAUUGUGAGAAGUUGAUUAAACCUUAUCAUCUAGAGGAAGCAAAAGUCGUAACAAGGU